CCACUGAUGGGAAAUUGAUUGGGAAAUGGCAAAAUUGGGGACAUCGGGAAUUGCCCCUUUUUCCAGUGGCAACGCCCACUUUGAGGCCCUCAACCAAUCAGGUUUGUCAUCCCCAUGUCCCCUUGUCCCCGCAGGGCUCCGGGCGGCCGUGACCCUGCUGGAGUGCGGGGGGGACCUCCAGCCCCCCGGGGGGUCCCUGCGCCUCCUCUGCCGAGGGUCUGGGUUCAAUUUCGGGAAUCACGACAUGUCCUGGAUCCGCCAGAGACCCGGGCAGGGGCUGGAAUACGUCGCGAGUAUCUACAGCAGUGGUGCCAGCACCUACUACGCGCCGUCGCUCAAGGGCCGGGUCACGAUCUCCAGGGACAACGGGCAGAGCUCGGUGACGCUGACCAUGACCGACCUCCGGGACGAGGAUUCCGGAUCCUAUUUCUGUGCCAGAUGUUACACCAGUGGUUGUGGUUAUGAUGCUGCUGCUUAUGUUGUUGGUGGUGGUUGAGAUCCCAAGCCGAUUCCUCUGUGUUCCCAACUAUCCCAGAAUUCUCUGAUCCUGACCCACAUCCCAGUCCUUUUUAUCAAAUCUUCACCAUUUUC